AGAUGUGAGGGCAAUCUGGCUGAGACAUCUGUCAUUCCAUUGAUCGCCAGGGUUGAUUUGAUUGAUCUGGCUGGCUAAGUGGGUGUCCCCUUCCUUCCUCACCUCUCUGUGUGUUCCCCCCUGAAGCUGCACACUUGGUCAAAGAGGAUAACCUUCCCCAUAGAGGAGGACCAUUCUUAGGUCGAGGGUGUCUGGGUAGUUGCACUCCCCUGCUAGAAUCUCCAAACAAGCUCUCAAGGUCCAUUUGUAGAAGAACGUAUGGUAAUCAAGCUUCCAAGACUCCAGACAUAUCCAAACGAGGUGCUACAUGUGACAGUCUGCCUUUCUUU
rnacentral:snRNA from 1 species